UACAGAGGUCCCAAGCGUUGUUCGGAUUCACUGGGCGUAAAGGGUGCGUAGGCGGUCGGGUAAGUUUGAUGUGAAAUCUCUGGGCUUAACCCAGAAAUGGCAUUGAAUACUAUUCGGCUAGAGAGUCGGAGGGGGGACUGGAAUACUUGGUGUAGCAGUGAAAUGCGUAGAUAUCAAGUGGAACACCAGUGGCGGAGGCGAGUCCCUGGACGAUUCUGACGCUGAGGCACGAAAGCUAGGGGAGCAAACAGG
rnacentral:rRNA from 1 species